CCCUAUGGGGGGCAGCAGGCGCGAAACCUCUGCAAUAGGCGAAGGCCUGACAGGGUUACUCUGAGUGAUUUCCGCUAAGGGAAUCUUUUGGCACCUCUAAAAAUGGUGCAGAAUAAGGGGUGGGCAAGUCUGGUGUCAGCCGCCGCAGUAAUACCAGCACCCCGAGUGGUCGGGACGAUUAUUGGGCCUAAAGCAUCCGUAGCCGGUUCUGCGAGUCUUCCGUUAAAUCCAGCUGCUCAACAGAUGGGCUGCGGAAGAUACUAUAGAGCUAGGAGGCGGGAGAGGCAAGCGGUACUCAGUGGGUAGGGGUAAAAUCCUUUGAUCCAUUGAAGACCACCAGUGGCGAAGGCGGCUUGCCAGAACGCGCUCGACGGUGAGGGAUGAAAGCUGGGGGAGCAAACCGGAUUAGAUACUCGGGUAGUCCCAGCUGUAAACGAUGCAGACUCGGUGAUGGGUUGGCCUCGCGCUAACUCAGUGCCGCAGGGAAGCCGUUAAGUCUGCCGCCUGGGGAGUACGGUUGCAAGACUGAAACUUAA
rnacentral:rRNA from 1 species